AACCAUAGAAACCUGCGGAGUACCUGCGGAGGGAUCAUUACCGAGUUUACAACUCCCAAACCCCUGUGAACAUACCUAUACGUUGCCUCGGCGGAUCAGCCCGCGCCCUGUAAAAAGGGACGGCCCGCCCGAGGACCCUAAACUCUGUUUUUAGUGGAACUUCUGAGUAAAACAAACUAAUAAAUCAAAACUUUUAGCAACGGAUCU
rnacentral:misc_RNA from 1 species